GAAAAAAAUAAAAAAUAAAAAAACAAAAAAUAAAGGGAAAAGAGCCGUUACUUGUGGGCCAAAGAAAAAAAAAAUAAAUAAAAACAAAACAAAAAAGAAAAAGAAAAAGGGAUAACAGCCCGUUGUUGCAGGGCAUGUGGGGCUUGUUUGGCUCGCAAGGGACUUGUUAUCAGUUGCGAUGUCCUUUGUUAGCUUUCCUCUGUGUCCACAGAUUGCUGGCUUUAUACCAAUUCACAUUCUAGCAACAGUGACUCCAAAGCUAGCAAACAAUUUCAUCUCUCUCUCUCUCUCUCAAUAUGAGUUAGGGUUCAUCCCUCUCACCCAAUUAUCGCAUGCAAACAUAUUAAUGACGAGGAACGCAUAACUCUGUCCACACGAAUUUCAUUUCUCAGCGAUCGAUUAAAGUGAUUGAUUCAGAAGGUCUCUGUGUUCGAUUAAUCGAUCAGGUUUCCUCUCUGGCUGCUCAAUAGCACUUGCACUGGCUAUUGCUGUAGUUGUACAUGCAAGAGAUGUUCUUAAGAGUGAGCAGUGUGUAAAAUAUAUUUCCACUUUAUGCUUGUUUGUAUUCAUUGUUUUACACAUGUUCAUGGAUGCUGGGAACAUAUACUUUGGGAGGCGUUACCAGAUUAAUUAUCCCAUAACCUUUAUAUUUGGUUUCAAGCAAGGGACAGGAUUGGGUAACAGUGAAGGCCUCCUCCUCAGUUUUGGCCUCGCAGUACUCACAAUGGCUGGUGUAGUCUCAAACUUGAACAUGGAAAUGGACCCCAGAACAAAAAGCUUCAGAGCUUUAACUGAAUUGCUACCUUUGGGCCUAGUCACUUUCAAGUCACUUCUUCCUUAUCAUUGGCGCAUUUCAGUGUCUUUGUACUCCUCUUUAUAAGGUUGUCGUCCCUGAUUUCUUCUUGGCAGAUCAGCUUAGUGGCCAGGUUCAGGCUUUCAGGAGUUCGGAAUUUUAUAUCUGUUACUAUGGUUGGAGGGACUUCGAGAAGAGAGAAAACACAUGCAAGGACAAUGAUGUUUAAAACUUUAUGUCAGUGUCGCAGUUGUACCAUAUUGGAUGCAUUUUCUUCAGUUGUUUUGAGGACAGGGUAUGAUCUGAAGUGGGGUAUGCCUUUACUCCAUAGAAAAGCCAUUGCAAUUAUUGCGAGUUUGGAGAAAAUUCAUCUGUGGAAUUUUGAAAUUUCUUCAGGUUGUGAAAAGGAGAGUCUGCUUUUCAAAUUUGAGACUUUUUUGUUCAAAAAUUGUGCAAAUGGGGAGAUGUUUGUAGUAUUGGAGGGCCCGAAGAGCCAACUUGAAUGGUUGAAUGAUCAACAAUCACACCCCCAUACCAAGUCAUGCGAUUUUGAUAUUUGGGAGAAAAUGUGUUACUUGUGGUUUUUGGGCAUAUAAUAUUCUUGCUAUGUAUUAGGUUUUUGGGACAUGGAUUAAUGAUGUUAAUAUAUGGUAUUGUUGCUAGGUUUUUGGGCAUAUACUCCUUGUUAUGUAGCGUCAAUAACUUAUUUUUGGGAAUAAUUUUAGCUGGCUGUUGCUCUAUGAUGACCUGCUUGAACUUAAUUUUUAUUACUAAUAAACAAUUUAUAGGAUAUUUAUUCCUGGAAAAGGAUCCUCUCCAUGGCUUGAGAGGGCCGGAGAGAAUGUGGUUUGAGAUUGAAUUGGUAGAUGAGAUCGUCAAAGUUUUGCGGUGAAGAUUGAAUCAUUAGAUGGGACCCACUAAUAAUGGUCUACUCUCGUGAAGUGUUGAUGUAUAAUCUCCACCUUUGAUGGAGUGCAAGACGUCCGCAGUGCUCGAGAGGACCCAAGUACCCAAGUCCAUUUAUUCACACAAAAGCAAUUACACUACAAAAAGAAUGAUGUUACCUAGUAU